rnacentral:rRNA from 1 species
UUCUGUAAGCCUGCGAAGGUGGCCUGUGAGGGUUGCUGGAGGUAUCAGAAGUGCGAAUGCUGACAUAAGUAACGAUAAAGCGGGUGAAAAGCCCGCUCGCCGGAAGACCAAGGGUUCCUGUCCAACGUUAAUCGGGGCAGGGUGAGUCGACCCCUAAGGCGAGGCCGAAAGGCGUAGUCGAUGGGAAACGGGUUAAUAUUCCCGUACUUGGUGUUACUGCGAAGGGGGGACGGAGAAGGCUAUGUUGGCCGGGCGACGGUUGUCCCGGUUUAAGCGUGUAGGUGUGUGUUCCAGGUAAAUCCGGUUCACUUUAACACUGAGGCGUGACGACGAGGCACUACGGUGCUGAAGCAACAAAUGCCCUGCUUCCAGGAAAAGCCUCUAAGCAUCAGGUAACAUCAAAUCGUACCCCAAACCGACACAGGUGGUCAGGUAGAGAAUACCAAGGCGCUUGAGAGAACUCGGGUGAAGGAACUAGGCAAAAUGGUGCCGUAACUUCGGGAGAAGGCACGCUGACA